rnacentral:lncRNA from 1 species
GCAAACCCAGCAGCAGAAGGGAGGGGCUGAGCCAGGCAGCUAGCAAUGGCGGCGGACCUGGGCUUCGAGGCGACCGAGCUGCGGCUCGGCCUGCCCGGCGGCGGCGAGGGGGAGGCCAGGAGCUCCUCCGGCAAGAGGGGCUUCGCCGAGACCAUCGACCUGAAGCUGAAGCUGGAGCCGGCCGGCGAGGAGGCGCCGGCGGCGGAGGACCGGUCCGACGUGGCCGUGGUCGCCGCGGCGGCGGCGGAGGAGGAGCACGAGAAGGCGGCGGCGGACGCCUGCGUGGGGAAGAUGAAGAGGUCGCCCAGCCAGAGCAGCGUCGUCACCACCGCCGCGCUCCCCGACCCCGCCGAGAAGCC